UCAAUUCAGAAAGCCCUCCAGGAAGAUGAACACCGUCUUCAUUGUGCCUCACGAAGGAGAUUAAGCCUAGCUAACCCUAACCAUCUCUUCAUUGUGCCUCACCGUACCCUAACCCUCUCUUCAUUGUGCCUCACGAAGAACCCCAUAUCGAAGAACCCCUAACAGCACUCUGCGAAGAAUGUCGCCAGUCGACGGCACUCGCAAUGCCUCCAUCGAAGAACCCCUAACCCUCCUUUGAGUUUCUUCUCUCUUCUCUCGCCACUCUCACCCUCAAGCUCACUGAGUCUCACCUCUCUCAUGGCUGGUCUCGCCGUCGACCUCUCUAUCUCUCCGGUAUAUUGCUUCUCUCGCAGGCGUUUCAGACUCAAGGUCGUCGCGCUCUGUCACCAUCGCUGCUCUGUCGCAAGCAAAUCGAUGGAAUUCGACCCGAUCCCAAUCGGUUCCUACUCCAAAGAGAACCAGAUCAUCUACUAGCAGUUGUUCAAUUACGCCAAUUCAGAUGGCGAUGGCCGCAUUACGGGGAGUGAUGCCACCAAGUUUUUCGCCAUGUCCAAUUUGUCUCGCCAGGAUCUUAAGCAGGUGUGGGCUAUCGCUAAUUCAAAGCGACAAGGAUAUCUUGGUUUUGCAAAGUUCAUCAUUGCUAUGCAGCUAAUUUCUUUGGCACAAUCCGACCAACCAAUAACACAAGAUCUUCUUUCUAGUGGUGGCAUUUUACUUCCAACCAUUUUUCUAGGAAUCUACCUGCUACAUUUGCAAAUCUCACUAAAUUGAAUCACGUUCAACUAGGCAAUAAUCAAUUUUCUGGAACUAUACCAAAUUUUAUUUAGAGAUGGACAACUCUUCAGAGACUGUGAAUCUUUACCUUAUUCCCUGAAAUUUAAACUUUUAGCUGUUUCUUUUUGAAAUACAUUUUAGUUAUAAUUGGCUGACCAGAGAAUUGUUCUUAAUUGUUCCAGGGUGGUGCAAGGGAAUGGUAUGAAUUUUUUUAUUCAGAAAUUAAUGCUACUCAUAAUUCUUGCUUCUUUUUUAUUUGAUGAAGUGCAUGCAUCAACAUUCUUCUCAGUUCAGUCUUUUGAUUAUAAUAUAGGGAUUUAAAAUAUCUUAAGUUGACUUUUUGAAACCAUUUCUUUUCUCUCUUAAAUAAUACUUGCUUUGGACAUAACUUCUUUUUCAGAGACAUCAGUUUUAACAAAUUAAGUGGAAUCAUUCUAAGCUCCUUCAGUCACCUAUUGAACAUGAACAUACUGUAAGAAAUAUUUUCUAACUUUUUAUUUUUUAUUUACAUGAAAUGAGGACUGAGGGAAACCAUUUCUUGCCUUCAUUAUUAGAAAAUUGGAAAUUGAAUGCCAUUGACACUGAUAGAGAACCAAUGGCAGGAUUAAAAUGCAGAUAUACUUGGUUUCGUUCUCAAUUAAACAUGCUGCUUAUGAUAAUUUGAGUUGCAGCCUGAAGCUUUGGUAUGUACUUAUUAUUUAUGAUUUCUGUUCUUAUACCUUGCUUUUUUUCCUUUUAUUUGUUGGGCUUGAUUCAGAGAAAAAAAAGACGAGCCUGCCCUGGCUUCUGCUGCUUGAUGCUAGCCUUGCUUGCCAUGAUGCAUCAAAAUCCAGCUAUAAGUUCUAUGAUAAUUUCAUUGGCUGGUUUACCUUUUGAUUUUUGGAAGUUUUG